rnacentral:rRNA from 1 species
GACAGAGGCCACAAGCGUUAGGCGGAAUCACUGGGCUUAAAGCGUGUGUAGGCGGAGGCGUAAGUGUCUUGUGAAAUCCCCCGGCUCAACCGGGGAACCGCUGGGCAUACUGCGUCUCUUGGGCCAAUCAGGGGCAGCUGGAACAAACGGUGGAGCGGUGAAAUGCGUAGAUAUCGUUGGAACGCCAACGGCGAAAGCAGGCUGCUGGGAUUGUGCCGACGCUGAGACACGAAAGCCAGGGGAGCGAACGGG